AUUGAACGCUGGCGGCAGGCCUAACACAUGCAAGUCGAACGGUAACAGAAAGCAGCUUGCUGCUUUGCUGGCGAGUGGCGGACGGGUGAGUAAUGUCUGGGAAACUGCCUGAUGGAGGGGGAUAACUACUGGAAACGGUAGCUAAUACCGCAUAACGUCGCAAGACCAAAGAGGGGGACCUUCGGGCCUCUUGCCAUCGGAUGUGCCCAGAUGGGAUUAGCUAGUAGGUGGGGUAACGGCUCACCUAGGCGACGAUCCCUAGCUGGUCUGAGAGGAUGACCAGCCACACUGGAACUGAGACACGGUCCAGACUCCUACGGGAGGCAGCAGUGGGGAAUAUUGCACAAUGGGCGCAAGACUGAUGCAGCCAUGCCGAGUGUAUGAAGAAGGCCUUCGGGUUGUAAAGUACUUUCAGCGGGGAGGAAGGGAGUAAAGUUAAUACCUUUGCUCAUUGACGUUACCCGCAGAAGAAGCACCGGCUAACUCCGUG
rnacentral:rRNA from 1 species